AAAAGACGGAAGUCGUAGCAGGCAGGGAGCUGGGCAGGGGCUGGAUCUGGACGGCCCAAACAAUCCGAGGGCCUGUCAUUACCAGUCUGGAGACUUUCCUGUAGUCCAAGUAGAGGACACACUGUCCAUUCACCUGGCACACAAACUGCCGAACCUAAAAGACAUGAUGUGAGCUGCUGCAGGGCUUCCACGGUCAACAGCCUGUACAUAACAGGGAGCCAUGCCUCUGACAACAAAGCCCCAGCCCAGGGCAUCUCCUAUCACCUGUGAUGAGAUACAUUACACAUUAUGUAGAAAUGAAAUGGAAUUUAUAUAGUUUGCUAUUGUUAAGAUACAACUUAAUUAGUCCACAUGGAAAAAUACUCUCCAGGAAUGUGUUUCAUCUUGUUUCUAAUGUUAACUAUGAAUCGACCUAAGUAUGUUGAUGCUUUGUUUAAAUGGUUAACAGAUGAGAAUUGUGUUGAUAUCACAGAACCUGUAGGCAAAAGGUAACCCCAAUGAAGUUUUAAUUUUAUAAGAGUAUUUUAGUUUUGUCCCUUACUGACAUCAAAGAUUAAUGCUUUAAUGAUCCACCUUUCAACUUUGGAGGACUGUUUUUACUGAAUUAAUGCUGUUAAAAUCCUAGACAUGACAAAAAUGUUAGCUUUUAAAUAGCCAUGAUUAAAUCAUUACAGUAACUCACCGUCAACACUCUCUUGAUGAAAGGUGCACCAGGUGCCAAUAACUCUUCACAUGUAUAAUUUCUUCUAAGCACUGUAAAAAAAAAUAUUAAAAGAUAUCAGUUUUGGACCACAGUAUACCAAAUACUUUGUCUUUAAAGACAUUUUGAAAUGUGUUACAUGAAUAUUAAUCACACACUUGCCUGAUUUAGGAUU